rnacentral:rRNA from 1 species
GUGCUUCACACAUGCAAGUCGAGCGAAGCACUUAAGUUUGAUUCUUCGGAUGAAUACUUUUGUGACUGAGCGGCGGACGGGUGAGUAACGCGUGGGUAACCUGCCUCAUACAGGGGGAUAACAGUUAGAAAUGGCUGCUCAUACCGCAUAAGACCACAGUACUGCCUGGUACAGUGGUAAAAACUCCGGUGGUAUGAGAUGGACCCGCGUCUGAUUACGUAGCUGGUGAGGUAACGGCCCACCAAGCCGACGAUCAGUAGCCGACCUGAGAGGGUGACCGGCCACCUUGGGACUGACACACGGCCCAGACUCCUACGGGAGGCAGCUCUGGGGAAUAUUGCACAAUGGGCGAAAGCCUGAUGCAGCGACGCCGCGUGAAGGAUGAAGUAUUUCGGUAUGUAAACUUCUAUCAGCAGGGAAGAAAAUGACGGUACCUGACUAAGAAGCUCCGGCUAACUACGUGCCAGCAGCCGCGGUAAUACGUAGGGGGCAAGCGUUAUUCGGAUUUACUGGGUGUAAAGGGAGCGUAUACGGCUGCGCUAGUCUGAAAGUGAAAGGCAUGGGGUCCACCUGGUGGCUGCUUUGGAAACCUGUGCAGCUAGAGGUGUGGGAGAGGGAAGUGGAAUUCCUAGUGUAGCGGUGAAAUGCGUAGAUAUUAGGAAGAACACCAGUGGCGAAGGCGGCUUACUGGACGAGGACUGACGUUGAGGCUCGAAAGCGUGGGGAGCAAACAGGAUUAGAUACCCUGGUAGUUCCACGCCGUAAACGAUGACUGCUAGGUGUCGGGUAGCAAAGCUAUUCGGUGCCGCAGCUAAUGCAAUAAGCAGUCCACCUGGGGAGUACGUUCGCAAGAAUGAAACUCAAAGGAAUUGACGGGGACCCGCACAAGCGGUGGAGCAUGUGGUUUAAUUCGAAGCAACGCGAAGAACCUUACCUGAUCUUGACAUCCCGAUGACCGCUUCGUAAUGGAAGUUUUUCUUCGGAACAUCGGUGGCAGGUGGUGCAUGGUUGUCGUCAGCUCGUGUCGUGAGAUGUUGGGUUAAGUCCCGCAACGAGCGCAACCCUUAUCUUCAGUAGCCAGCAUUAAGGAUGGGCACUCUGGAGAGACUGCCAGGGAUAACCUGGAGGAAGGUGGGGAUGACGUCAAAUCAUCAUGCCCCUUAUGACCAGGGCUACACACGUGCUACAAUGGCGUAAACAAAGGGAAGCAGAGCCGCGAGGCCGAGCAAAUCUCAAAAAUAACGUCUCGGUUCGGAUUGUAGUCUGCAACUCGACUACAUGAAGCUGGAAUCGCUAGUAAUCGCAGAUCAGAAUGCUGCGGUGAAUACGUUCCCGAGUCUUGUACACACCGCCCGUCACACCAUGGGAGUCAGUAACGCCCGAAGUCAGUGACCCAACCGAAAGGAGGGAGCUGCCGAAGGUGGGACCGAUAACUGG